rnacentral:rRNA from 1 species
UACGGGGGGGGCAAGCGUUGUUCGGAAUUACUGGGCGUAAAGCGCGUGUAGGUGGCGAUGUAAGUCGGGUGUGAAAUCCCUCAGCUUAACUGAGGAAGUGCACUCGAUACUGUGUCGCUUGAGUGUUGGAGGGGAUGGCGGAAUUCCCGGUGUAGAGGUGAAAUUCGUAGAUAUCGGGAGGAACACCUGUGGCGAAGGCGGCCAUCUGGACAACUACUGACACUGAGACGCGAAAGCGUGGGUAGCAAACAGG